AGAACGAACGCUGGCGGCAUGCCUAAUACAUGCAAGUCGAACGAACACUUCGGUGUUAGUGGCGCACGGGUGCGUAACGCGUGGGAAUCUGCCCUUGGGUUCGGAAUAACAGUUGGAAACGGCUGCUAAUACCGGAUGAUGACGAAAGUCCAAAGAUUUAUCGCCCAGGGAUGAGCCCGCGUAGGAUUAGCUAGUUGGUGAGGUAAAGGCUCACCAAGGCGACGAUCUGUAGCUGGUUUGAGAGGACGACCAGCCACACUGGGACUGAGACACGGCCCAGACUCCUACGGGAGGCAGCAGUGGGAAUUUGGACAAGUGGGGAACCUGAUCCAGCCAUCCCGCGUGUGCGAUGAA
rnacentral:rRNA from 1 species